CCUAGAAUGCAGACAUGAGUAGCGAUAAACCAGAUGAGAAUUCUGGUCGCCGUAAACCUAAGGUUUCCUGGGGCAGGUUCGUCCUCCCAGGGUUAGUCGGGAGCUAAGGCGAGGCCGUAAGGCGUAGUCGAUGCACAGCAGGUUAAUAAUCCUGCACCGGCUUGGUUUAAGGUUGGAAAGGAAGCAAGGAGAAAAGUGACUAGGCAAUCGAAUGCUGAGCUUAGCCUUCGGGCGAAGCGUAUCACCAGACAACUUGUCUAGAAAAGUUUCCAACUGUUCCCCAGGUUGCCCGUACCGUAAACCGACACAGGUGGGUGAGUCGAAUAGACUAAGGCGCGCGAGAGAAACCUCUCUAAGGAACUCGGCACAUUAGCCCCGUAACUUCGGGAGAAGGGGUCCCUUUCUUUGGAAAGGGUUCAAUAAAUUGCGUUUAGCGACUGUUUAACAAAAACACAGCACUCUGCUAAGUCGUGAAGACGACGUAUAGGGUGUGACACGUGACCAAUGCGGAAAGAUCAAGGCGUUUUGUCAGGGCCGUAAGGCUCGAAGCUCGGCGUCUAAGUCCCCGUGAAUGUCGGCCGUAACUAUAACGGUCCUAAGGUAGCGAAAUUCCUUGUCGGGUAAGUUCCGACCUGCACGGAUCGUGUAACGACUGAACGACUGCCUCGGAGAGGGUCUCGGCGAAAUUGUAACUGCGGUGAAGAAGCCGCAUGCCCGCAGUAGGACGGAAAGACCCUAUGCACCUUUACUGUAAGCUGGUAUUGUGUUCUGAUUAAUGAUGCGUAGCGUAGGUGGGAGACUUUGAAGUGAUGGCUUCGGCCAUCAUGGAGUCGCAAUGUGAAACACCACUCUUCGUUAAUUAGGAUUCUAACCUCUGUCUGUGAAGCCAGAAGAGGGACAGUGCCUGCAGGUCAGUUUGGCUGGGGCGGCUUCCUCCCAAAUUGUAACGGAGGAGCGCUAAGCUUGGCUCAGCAUGGUUUGCAACCAUGCGUCGAGCGUAUGGGUAGAAGCCAGGUUAACUGCGAGACCAACAAGUCGAGCAGAUGCGAAAGCAGGCCCAAAUGAUCCGAUGGUUUAAUGUGGAGUUGCCAUCGCUCAACGGACAAAAGGUACGCUAGGGAUAACAGGCUGAUCGAGUCCAAGAGUUCAUAUCGACGACUCGGUUUGGCACCUCGAUGUCGGCUCAUCGCAUCCUGGGGCUGGAGAAGGUCCCAAGGGUCCGGCUGUUCGCCGGUUAAAGCGGUACGCGAGCUGGGUUCAGAACGUCGUGAGACAGUUCGGUCCUUAUCCACUGUGGGCGCAGGAAACUUGAGGGGUUCAUUCUCUAGUACGAGAGGACCGAGAAUGACGCACUUCUGGUGUGGCAAUUGUUCCGUCAGGAGCAUCGUUGCGUAGCCAUGUGCGGAAGAGAUAAGCGCUGAAAGCAUCUAAGUGCCAAGCUCCUCCCAAGAUAUGGUUUCCCGGACCGCAAGGUCCCUUAAGACCCCAGGAAGACUACCUGGUUGAUAGGUUAGGCGUGUAAUUAGAGUAAUCUAUUCAGCGGACUAAUACUAAUCGGUCGUGAGGCUUGAUCGC
rnacentral:rRNA from 1 species